AACCUGGUUGAUCCUGCCAGUAGUCAUAUGCUUGUUUCAAGGAUUAAGCCAUGCAAGUCUCAGAGUAAAUGGAUUAACAGUGGAUCUGCAGACGGCUCAUUAAAUCAGCUGCAAUCUGCGCCGGGAAGGAGCUUUAAGGCACCCAGUUGGAUAACAAGCGUAACUCGCUUGCUAAUACAUGUCCGAACAUCGCGACUCGGAAUCCACCUGGUGAGGGAAACCAAUCUAGGCUGAGGCGUGAACAGUUGACCGAAACAAAAAUCAACGCUGGCAACAGCAGCGGUGAGUGGAUGAAACAGGUCAACCGAGUGAUAGCACAUGCUUUCGAGCGGUGCAAGCCGGCAAGAGCAUCUGCCCUAUCAGCUUUUGACGGUAGUGUAGUGGACUACCGUGGCGUUAACGGGUAACGGGGAAUUAGGGUUCGAUUCCGGAGAGGGAGCCUGAGAAACGGCUACCACAUCUAAGGAUGGCAGCAGGCGCGCAAAUUGCCCAAUAGCAACACUGCUGAGGCAGCGAAGAGAAAUAGUAACUUCUACCGCAACUGCGGUAUGGAGCUGCAAUGGAUGAUAUCUAAACCUGUCAGUGAACUCCAUUGGUGGACAAGUCUGGUGCCAGCACCCGCGGUAAUUCCAGCACCAAUAGC
rnacentral:rRNA from 1 species